ACAUUUUUGCCCUUUUUCUUUUCAGGCUCACUGUCACUUUGUCAUAGUGAAGCUUUUCUGCUCCAAACUUGCAGAGGUGGAGGACACAGCUGUCCACGCUGCCCUCUAUUCCCUGGCACACCUUUAUGCUCUUCAUGGGGUCUACCAAAACUCUGGUGACUUUCUGCAGGCAGGACUUCUUACUGUCCCACAGCUGACACAAGUAACCCAACAGCUGAAAGAGCUUCUCUAUCAGAUACGCCCCAAUUCUAUAGCACUGGUCGAUGCCUUUGACUACCGUGAUGAGAUGCUCAACUCUGUUCUUGGCCGUUAUGAUGGCAAUGUCUAUGACAACAUGUUUGAGUGGGCACGGAAAUCGCCGCUGAACCAGACUGAGGUCCAUAACUCAUUUUACAAAUACUUGAAGCCAUUGCAGUCGAAACUGUGAAUGGUCAGCAGAACCAGUGACCAAACUCUGAUGCUUAAUGUCUCUUCAUCCUAGAUGCCAUCAGUUUAAACAACUACUUAUAUGCAGUGAGAACUAAAGAUGAACAUUGAUCAGACUAACCUUUUAAGAGAUUGGAGUUCCAUUGAUUGAUAUGAUUUCUUCUUUCCUUUCUUCUUCUUGGCAGAAUAACCAUAUAGUAUUGGUGUAUCUGAUGCCUGUGAUAUUCUCUGCCCUUCAUCUUUAGUUUCUAUCCUUCCAGUUGGAUGGAAUUUUUCAUGGCUCUUAAGUUUUCUUAUCUGUCAAAUGAGCAACUAUUCUAGAACUUC